rnacentral:lncRNA from 1 species
AGUGUGAGCCCUGCAGAAGUGUUAUGGAUGACUGCAAGAGCUGCUAGUGGAGGUCUGUAACAUGGAAGAUGCUCUUCCUUUGAUCUGAGCCUUGAGGAUAACUGAUGCUCAGGGACAAUGCUUUUACCUCCUGAAGAGCAUCCUCAGAGUCUGGUCCACAGUCCACGGAGUGAGGUUGAGGACCCAAAAAGGUAGCCUCAUUCUUGAUUUUGGCUGUCAAGAGGAUUUUAAAAACUGAGGUUGAAAAGGAGUUGGUAAUUGGCUCAGGAGUUCAUGGACGCAAACCCUUGACUGGAGCCCAUGAUGUCACCUGGAGAGAGAGACAAGUAAGUGUGACUCUGGCUUAUGCUGGAAGCAUGUGGUGCCACAGAGAACAGUGCAGGAUUUGGCAAGACCUCUUGGAGAGCUGGACCCCACACCUGUGGGGAGGGAGACAUGAGUAUUGUG